rnacentral:rRNA from 1 species
UUAAGCAUAUCAAUAAGCGGAGGAAAAGAAACCAACAGGGAUUGCCCCAGUAACGGCGAGUGAAGCGGCAACAGCUCAAAUUUGAAAUCUGGCCCCUAGGGUCCGAGUUGUAAUUUGUAGAGGAUGCUUUUGGUGAGGUGCCGCCCGAGUUCCCUGGAACGGGACGCCGCAGAGGGUGAGAGCCCCGUCUGGCUGGCCACCGAGCCUAUGUAAAGCUCCUUCGACGAGUCGAGUAGUUUGGGAAUGCUGCUCAAAAUGGGAGGUAUAUGUCUUCUAAAGCUAAAUAUUGGCCAGAGACCGAUAGCGCACAAGUAGAGUGAUCGAAAGAUGAAAAGCACCUUGAAAAGAGGGUUAAACAGUACGUGAAAUUGUUGAAAGGGAAGCGCUUGUGACCAGACUUGGGCGCGGCGGAUCAUCCGGGGUUCUCCCCGGUGCACUUCGCCGCGUUCAGGCCAGCAUCAGUUCGGCGCGGGGGAAAAAGGCUUCGGGAACGUGGCUCCUCCGGGAGUGUUAUAGCCCGUUGCAUAAUACCCUGCGCUGGACUGAGGACCGCGCAUCUGCAAGGAUGC